rnacentral:rRNA from 1 species
GGACCUGACUGCUAUCGGAUUGAUACUAAGCCAUGCGAGUCAUUGUAGCAACACAAGGCAUACGGCUCAGUAACGCGUAGUCAACCUAACCUAUGGACGGGAAUAACCCCGGGAAACUGAGAAUAAUGCCCGAUAGAACAUUAUGCCUGGAAUGGUUUAUGUUCCAAAUGAUUUAUCGCCGUAGGAUGGGACUGCGGCCUAUCAGUUUGUUGGUGAGGUAAUGGCCCACCAAGACUAUUACAGGUACGGGCUCUGAGAGGAGUAGCCCGGAGAUGGGUACUGAGACACGGACCCAGGCCCUAUGGGGCGCAGCAGGCGAGAAAACUUUGCAAUGUGCGAAAGCACGACAAGGUUAAUCCGGGUGGUUUCUGCUAAAGAAACCUUUUGUCAGUCCUAGAAACACUGAUGAAUAAGGGGUGGGCAAGUUCUGGUGU